rnacentral:rRNA from 1 species
GUUAUAUGGUCAAGUGAAGAAGCGCAUACGGUGGAUGCCUUGGCAGUCAGAGGCGAUGAAAGACGUGGUAGCCUGCGAAAAGCUUCGGGGAGUCGGCAAACAGACUGUGAUCCGGAGAUGUCUGAAUGGGGGAACCCAGCCAUCAUAAGAUGGUUAUCUUGUACUGAAUACAUAGGUGCAAGAGGCGAACCAGGGGAACUGAAACAUCUAAGUACCCUGAGGAAAAGAAAUCAACCGAGAUUCCCUUAGUAGUGGCGAGCGAACGGGGACCAGCCCUUAAGUUGUAUUGAGAUUAGCGGAACGUUCUGGAAAGGACGGCCAUAGUGGGUGAUAGCCCUGUACGCGAAAAUCCCUUUGCAAUGAAAUCGAGUAGGACGGGGCACGAGAAACCUUGUCUGAAUAUGGGGGGACCAUCCUCCAAGGCUAAAUACUACUGACUGACCGAUAGUGAACCAGUACCGUGAGGGAAAGGCGAAAAGAACCUUGUCUGAAUAUGGGGGGACCAUCCUCCAAGGCUAAAUACUACUGACUGACCGAUAGUGAACCAGUACCGUGAGGGAAAGGCGAAAAGAACCGCGGAGAGCGGAGUGAAAUAGAUCCUGAAACCGUAUGCGUACAAGCAGUGGGAGCCCACUUUGUUGGGUGACUGCGUACCUUUUGUAUAAUGGGUCAGCGACUUAUUUUCAGUGGCGAGCUUAACCGAAUAGGGGAGGCGUAGCGAAAGCGAGUCUUAAUAGGGCGUCUAGUCGCUGGGAAUAGACCCGAAACCGGGCGAUCUAUCCAUGGGCAGGUUGAAGGUUGGGUAACACUAACUGGAGGACCGAACCGACUACCGUUGAAAAGUUAGCGGAUGACCUGUGGAUCGGAGUGAAAGGCUAAUCAAGCUCGGAGAUAGCUGGUUCUCCUCGAAAGCUAUUUAGGUAGCGCCUCAUGUAUCACUGUAGGGGGUAGAGCACUGUUUCGGCUAGGGGGUCAUCCCGACUUACCAAACCGAUGCAAACUCCGAAUACCUACAAGUGCCGAGCAUGGGAGACACACGGCGGGUGCUAACGUCCGUCGUGAAAAGGGAAACAACCCAGACCGUCAGCUAAGGUCCCAAAGUCAUGGUUAAGUGGGAAACGAUGUGGGAAGGCUUAGACAGCUAGGAGGUUGGCUUAGAAGCAGCCACCCUUUAAAGAAAGCGUAAUAGCUCACUAGUCGAGUCGGCCUGCGCGGAAGAUGUAACGGGGCUCAAACCAUGCACCGAAGCUACGGGUAUCAUCUUAGGAUGAUGCGGUAGAGGAGCGUUCUGUAAGCCUGUGAAGGUGAGUUGAGAAGCUUGCUGGAGGUAUCAGAAGUGCGAAUGCUGACAUGAGUAACGACAAUGGGUGUGAAAAACACCCACGCCGAAAGACCAAGGUUUCCUGCGCAACGUUAAUCGACGCAGGGUUAGUCGGUCCCUAAGGCGAGGCUGAAAAGCGUAGUCGAUGGAAAACAGGUUAAUAUUCCUGUACUUCUGGUUAUUGCGAUGGAGGGACGGAGAAGGCUAGGCCAGCCUGGCGUUGGUUGUCCAGGUUUAAGGUGGUAGGCUGAGAUCUUAGGUAAAUCCGGGAUCUCAAGGCCGAGAGCUGAUGACGAGUGUUCUUUAGAACACGAAGUGGUUGAUGCCAUGCUUCCAAGAAAAGCUUCUAAGCUUCAGGUAACCAGGAACCGUACCCCAAACCGACACAGGUGGUUGGGUAGAGAAUACCAAGGCGCUUGAGAGAACUCGGGUGAAGGAACUAGGCAAAAUGGCACCGUAACUUCGGGAGAAGGUGCGCCGGUGAGGGUGAAGCAUUUACUGCGUAAGCCCACGCCGGUCGAAGAUACCAGGCCGCUGCGACUGUUUAUUAAAAACACAGCACUCUGCAAACACGAAAGUGGACGUAUAGGGUGUGACGCCUGCCCGGUGCCGGAAGGUUAAUUGAUGGGGUUAGCGCAAGCGAAGCUCUUGAUCGAAGCCCCGGUAAACGGCGGCCGUAACUAUAACGGUCCUAAGGUAGCGAAAUUCCUUGUCGGGUAAGUUCCGACCUGCACGAAUGGCGUAACGAUGGCGGCGCUGUCUCCACCCGAGACUCAGUGAAAUUGAAAUCGCUGUGAAGAUGCAGUGUAUCCGCGGCUAGACGGAAAGACCCCGUGAACCUUUACUAUAGCUUUGCACUGGACUUUGAAUUUGCUUGUGUAGGAUAGGUGGGAGGCUUUGAAGCGUGGACGCCAGUCUGCGUGGAGCCAACCUUGAAAUACCACCCUGGCAACUUUGAGGUUCUAACUCAGGUCCGUUAUCCGGAUCGAGGACAGUGUAUGGUGGGUAGUUUGACUGGGGCGGUCUCCUCCUAAAGAGUAACGGAGGAGUACGAAGGUGCGCUCAGACCGGUCGGAAAUCGGUCGUAGAGUAUAAAGGCAAAAGCGCGCUUGACUGCGAGACAGACACGUCGAGCAGGUACGAAAGUAGGUCUUAGUGAUCCGGUGGUUCUGUAUGGAAGGGCCAUCGCUCAACGGAUAAAAGGUACUCCGGGGAUAACAGGCUGAUACCGCCCAAGAGUUCAUAUCGACGGCGGUGUUUGGCACCUCGAUGUCGGCUCAUCACAUCCUGGGGCUGAAGCCGGUCCCAAGGGUAUGGCUGUUCGCCAUUUAAAGUGGUACGCGAGCUGGGUUUAGAACGUCGUGAGACAGUUCGGUCCCUAUCUGCCGUGGACGUUUGAGAUUUGAGAGGGGCUGCUCCUAGUACGAGAGGACCGGAGUGGACGAACCUCUGGUGUUCCGGUUGUCACGCCAGUGGCAUUGCCGGGUAGCUAUGUUCGGAAAAGAUAACCGCUGAAAGCAUCUAAGCGGGAAACUUGCCUCAAGAUGAGAUCUCACUGGAACCUUGAGUUCCCUAGAAAGCUAUGUUCGGAAAAGAUAACCGCUGAAAGCAUCUAAGCGGGAAACUUGCCUCAAGAUGAGAUCUCACUGGAACCUUGAGUUCCCUAGAGGGCCGUCGAAGACUACGACGUUGAUAGGUUGGGUGUGUAAGCGCUGUGAGGCGUUGAGCUAACCAAUACUAAUUGCCCGUGAGGCUUGACCAUAUAACACCCAAGCAAUU